rnacentral:misc_RNA from 1 species
GAAACUUCCCACAUAAAAUGUAAAAAGGAAUAGUAGGUACAUUUGACACUUUGCUGUAAUCAACAAGGAAGAAAAAUUGUAAGCAUGAUUUUCAUUUCUUGUAUUCCUCACACUUCGAUUCAUUGUUUAGCUUUCCCAUUUGGGAAGAGUCGUCAUUUGUAAAUAUGAUUCUUGUAAUAAUGAGAUUCUAACAGAAUUCUUUCUGUGUU